UACAGAGGUCUCAAGCGUUGUUCGGAUUUACUGGGCGUAAAGAGCGCGCAGGCGGUCGUUCAAGUCGAGUGUGAAAGCCCCCGGCUCAACUGGGGAGGGUCACUCGAUACUGAUCGACUUGAAGGCAGGAGAGGGAAGCGGAAUUCCCGGUGUAGUGGUGAAAUGCGUAGAUAUCGGGAGGAACACCAGUGGCGAAGGCGGUCUCUGGGCCUUACCUGACGCUGAG
rnacentral:rRNA from 1 species